AUGGCCUGGACUCCUCUGCUCCUGGUGAUCCUCUCUCACUGCACAGGGUCCCUCUCCCAGCCUGUGCUGACUCAGCCGCCCUCCCUCUCUGCAUCUCUGGGAGCAACGGCCAGACUCACCUGCACCCUGAGCCGUGAUGUCAGUGUUGGCAGCUACAACAUAUACUGGCAGCAGCAGAAGCCAGGGAGCCGUCCCCGGUACCUCCUGUACUACUACUCCGACUCAGAUGGGGAACAGGGCUCCGGGGUCCCCAGCCGCUUCUCUGGAUCCAAAGACGCCUCGGCCAAUGCGGGGCUCCUGACCAUCUCGGGGCUGCAGCCUGAGGACGAGGCUGACUAUUACUGUAUGAUCUGGACCAGUAGUGCUUCCCACAGUGACACACACAGAUGGGGAAGUGGGACAAAAACCUUGGCCUCCACCAGAGUCUUGGGUCCCAACAUGUGA